UGUUUGCUUUGCGUUAGGGAUGGUAGCGGCAUCCUUUUUGUCCCUUUUUGGAGGGACAAAAAGAUAUAGCGUACAGCCCGACCCUUU
rnacentral:sRNA from 1 species